CGAACGGGUGAGUAACACGUGGGUAACCUGCCCCGAUGAUUGGGACAACCCGAGGAAACUCGGGCUAAUACCAAAUGUGCUCUGGGUCCUCAAGGACCUCGAGGAAAGGAAGCUUCGGCCUCCGCAUCGGGAUGGGCCCGCGGCCCAUUAGCUUGUUGGUGGGGUAAUGGCCUACCAAGGCUUCGAUGGGUAGCUGGUCUGAGAGGACGAUCAGCCACACUGGGACUGAGACACGGCCCAG
rnacentral:rRNA from 1 species